UUGGAGGGCAAGUCUGGUGCCAGCAGCCGCGGUAAUUCCAGCUCCAAUAGCGUAUAUUAAAGUUGCUGCAGUUAAAAAGCUCGUAGUUGAAUUUCGGGAUCAUCAUGUCGGUCGUGCCUCGGUACGUACUGGCAUUGUUGGUUUCUACCUUCUGACGAACCAUGAUGUCAUUUAUUUGGUGUCGUGGGAAAUCAGGACUGUUACUUUGAAAAAAUUAGAGUGUUUAAAGCAGGCUCACGCUUGAAUACAUUAGCAUGGAAUAAUGAAAUAGGACGUUUGAUUCUAUUUUGUUGGUUUCUAGGAUCGACGUAAUGAUUAAUAGGGAUAGUUGGGGGCAUUAGUAUUCAAUUGUCAGAGGUGAAAUUCUUGGAUUUAUUGAAGACUAACUACUGCGAAAGCAUUUGCCAAGGAUGUUUUCAUUAAUCAAGAACGAAAGUUAGAGGAUCGAAGACGAUCAGAUACCGUCGUAGUCUUAACCAUAAACUAUGCCGACUAGGGAUCGGAUGAUGUUAAUUUUUUAAUGACUCGUUCGGCGCCUUACGGGAAAC
rnacentral:rRNA from 1 species